rnacentral:tRNA from 1 species
CAGAGUAUAGCUAAGGAAGAAAAGCAUCUCCCUUACACCGAGAAGACAUCCGUGCAAAUCGGAUUGCCCUGA